ensembl:piRNA 21ur-4120 ncRNA
UACUCAGUCAGCGAUCGAGAA